AUUGAACGCUGGCGGCAUGCCUUACACAUGCAAGUCGAACGGCAGCACGGGAGCAAUCCUGGUGGCGAGUGGCGAACGGGUGAGUAAUAUAUCGGAACGUGCCCGGUCGUGGGGAUAACGUAGCGAAAGCUACGCUAAUACCGCAUACGAUCUACGGAUGAAAGCGGGGGAUCGCAAGACCUCGCGCGAUUGGAGCGGCCGAUAUCAGAUUAGGUAGUUGGUGAGGUAAAGGCUCACCAAGCCGACGAUCUGUAGCUGGUCUGAGAGGACGACCAGCCACACUGGGACUGAGACACGGCCAGACUCCUACGGGAGGCAGCAGUGGGGAAUUUUUGGACAAUGGGCGGCAAGCCUGAUCCAGCAAUAGCCGCGUGCAGGAU
rnacentral:rRNA from 1 species